GCCAGCCCGCUCAGAACUACAAAGGAAUUGACGGGGGCCCGCACAAGCGGUGGAGCAUGUGGUUUAAUUCGAUGAUACGCGAGGAACCUUACCUGGGCUCAAAUGUAUGUUGACGUAUUCUGAAAGGGAUACUUCUUCGGACAAUAUACAAGGUGCUGCAUGGUUGUCGUCAGCUCGUGCCGUGAGGUGUCGGGUUAAGUCCCAUAACGAGCGCAACCCCUAUCAUUAGUUGCCAUCAGGUCAAGCUGGGGACUCUAAUGAAACUGCCUACGCAAGUAGUGAGGAAGGUGGGGAUGACGUCAAAUCAGCACGGCCCUUACGGCCUGGGCUACACACGUGCUACAAUGGUCGGUACAAAGGGUUGCCAAGCCGCGAGGUGGAGCUAAUCCCAUAAAACCGAUCGUAGUCCGGAUCGCAGUCUGCAACUCGACUGCGUGAAGUCGGAAUCGCUAGUAAUCGUGAAUCAGAAUGUCACGGUGAAUACGUUCCCGGGCCUU
rnacentral:rRNA from 1 species